CCGUCCGUGCCCCCUGUUUCCGGUUGAAAGUUAGUGGGCAGGUACGACAGGUACAGGUACAGGUAUUACACGUUACCGUCUGUACAGGUGAACCAUGCGGGCGUGCCUGCUGCUUCUAGCGGUCUGUGUGGCCGUACUGGCCCAGCAGACCCGCGCGGACACUGAAUACCACAGCGCCAGGGUAGAGAGUUGCAGUGGAUGACGCUUGAACAAACUCCCCAAGGUGAAGAGGUUCAUCCAUGAAGUGCUGCCUACCUUUCACCAAGUGGAGUUCAAGCCCAUUGCUGGGAAGAGUCCUGUGCUGCUGUUGUUAGGUCAGGAGGGAGAUGUAUUGGAGGAGUUUGACCUUGCACCAAUGAGCACAGACGAGAUCUCUGACCUCCUUCUUGAGAAAGGCUUCCGCAAGAAGGAGUCAGAAGAUGCUGAGGAGGUUGGAAAAGGCGAGCUAUAAGUAUAAACUCUGUAUUCCCUCCCUUUAGAACCUACUUGGUACAUUCCAAUUUUGCUUGACAGGGAUGAGCUCUCAGUGUUGGUACCUAAUGUGGAAUGUUCCAAGUUGGCUGAAGAGAUGCAUACAUAGAUCUAGAGUGCUGGGAACUGAGAACUCUUAUUUGAAUGGAACUGUGGCUUAUAAUAAGUAAUUGUGAAACGUGCAGAACUACAUGUGUCAUAGUACAAUAUAUAUCGUAAGGAAAUCUGCUGCCUAAAUUGACAAUGGUUUUGCCAUUUUAAACGUGAAUGUGAAGUCUUGAAAAUGAAAGAAAAAGCAGCUGAAAAUAGUCUUGUUCUCCCUUAGUUGCAAAAGGGGGAAAAAGAAUUGUCAUGUCCUUACAGUAUAGAUAUAUAACUUGCAUAUGUACCACUUCUUUUUAAUGGUGUUAACACUACUAUACAAUGCAGUGAUUCUAUAUGUUAAGUAAGACAUAUUAAAUUACUUUGUGAACAAGUGACACCAACUGAAUAUGAAAAUCCUGUAGAUGUACAGAGAAAUAGUAGUCUCCACCAUAGUAACAAUGCAGUCUGAGAGUGAAUAAUCUGACAUUGGAGUUUGGACACCAUUUGGGCCAAAACCUGAUGUACAAAACCUGCGCAUGCAUGCGAGCGUACGCCAAAUUUUUCCUGUGUGUAAGUCGGCCUUCAUUACCUUGAGGGCUGCUGUACAAUCUGAACAUGUGUCCUUAAUGUACGUCAAAGCAGGCAGAUUUGCACACUGGAAAAGUUUGACAUGAGCAGUUUUUGCACACUGGCAUGUUCAUGAUGUUUUCACAGUCAGGUUUUCGCCCGCAUGUAAAUCAGGUCCUACUAUCCAUAACCACAUCAAUAGCAAGACCUGGUGAAGGCUAGAGAAAUAGAUCAUGAAAACUUAUUAUUAUCAAUUAUAUAUGUUGACAAGUGUUAAGUGCCAUGUCGCCAGAUGAAUAAGUGUUGAUUGUAAUGACAUGUUGUAUUGUAGCUUUUUGACUUUGAAGACCUACAUAGUUGACCAUCUAAACCAAUGUUGGCUAGUAAGAUACAGUAAUAAGAUUAUAAUCAUGCAAUUGUCAUAUUGAGAUACUUGUAAAUUACAUGUGCGCUUAAUCGUAUUGAAUCAUAUACAUGUGUUACAAAUUUAAGUUGAAGAUCGUUAACUGAGAUAUAAUACCAAGUUGUUUACUCUGAAAUAUGAUAAAAAAUGAUAAGCGCUACAUGUACAUUGUAGGUGGAAUACUUUUGCAGAGCAUUUUAUGAAGCAGGAGAUUUUGCCAGUAAGACAUUUUCUUCUGAGUUCUCAGUUCCCAGUUGACCCCGUCUUGUCCCUGUGCUGAGGAUGACUUAUUGCUGCCCUGGAGCGGAGGCGUGUAUGAAACUGUCAACUGAAAGUCUACGGUUGGUGGUGGAGAAAAUUAGCCAGGAGCCCCAGGGCAGCAAACAAGAAGUCGGCUUGGGGUGAAUUUCAAUAAAGUCACAUUCCAGACUUGA